rnacentral:rRNA from 1 species
CCUACGGGGGGCAGCAGUAGGGAAUAUUGCUCAAUGGCGGAAACCCUGAAGCAGCAACGCCGCGUGGGGGAAGAAGGUUUUCGGAGUGUUAAACCCUUUUGUUAGAGAAGAUAAUGACGGUACCUGACGAAUAAGCACCGGCUAACUCCGUGCCAGCAGCCGCGGUAAUACGGAGGGUGCAAGGGUUACUCGGAAUCACUGGGCGUAAAGCGGGCGUAGGCGGGAUAGCAAGUCAGACGUGAAAUUCGAGGGCUUAACCAUCGAACUGCGUUUGAAACUGUUAUUCUAGAGUACGGGAGAGGUAGGUGGAAUGCUUGGUGUAGGGGUAAAAUGCGUAGAGAUCAAGAGGAAUACUCAUUGCGAAGGCGACCUGCCGGCACAUAACUGACGUUGAUGCGCGAAAGCGUGGGGAGCAAACAGGAUUAGAUACCCCUGUAGUC